AUAGGUUAUGGCGACAUCACGCCAACGACACUGUAUGGAAAGUUGGUUGGUGGCGCAUGUGCCGUGAGUGGUGUACUAAUGAUGGCUUUACCAGUGUCUGUGAUGGCGAGCAAU